UCUCCGUAGGUGAACCUGCGGAGGGAUCAUUACUGAGUGAGGGCUCACGCCCGACCUCCAACCCUUUGUGAACACAUCUUGUUGCUUCGGGGGCGUCACUGCCGGCACUCUGUCGCCGGGCGCCCCCGAAGGUCUCCAAACACUGCAUCUCUGCGUCGGAGUUUAAAACAAAUUAAACAAAACUUUCAACAACGGGUCUCUUGGUUCUGGCAUCGAUGAAGAAAGCAGC
rnacentral:misc_RNA from 1 species